CGUCCUUUCGUGGAUGGUGGUGGGGUACCGCCCGUAUAUUGAGAACUACACAGUGGACGCGAGCAUCUUAGAUUCACCGGUUUUCCGGUGGAUCACAAAGAUCUAUUUAUAGAUCAUUGGUCAAUUCUGUCUCCUCUAGGGGAGGCGAAACGAUUCAAUCUCAUGUGAUUUCAAGAUUCUAAGAGCAAACGGUGGAUGCCUUGGCAUCUGGAGCCGAAGAAGGACGUAUAAAUCUGCGAUAAGCCUCGGGGAGCUGAUAAUAGAGCUGUGAUCCGAGGAUCUCCGAAUGGGGAAACCCCGCCAGGCCCUUUGGGUGACCUGGUGACUCCCGCCUGAAUAUAUAGGGCGGGUAGAGGGAACGUGGGGAACUGAAA
rnacentral:misc_RNA from 1 species